GACGCUUUGGUGGAGUGGUUAACACGUAUCCCUGCUAUACACACUCGUUUGCAGCCAGUUUACUGGUGCUAGGAUAUCCUCUCUGAGGGCGAGAGUUCGAAUCUCUCAGGCGUCG
rfam:Pseudozyma antarctica T-34 DNA, contig: scaffold00014.